rnacentral:rRNA from 1 species
GACGAACGCUGGCGGCGUGCUUAAUACAUGCAAGUCAACUGAACUUGAAGUAGCAAUAUUUCAAGGGAGGUGGCGCACGGGUGAGUAACACGUAGGUAAUCUGCCUUUAGGUCUGACAUAAUUCCGCGAAAGCGGGACUAACUUCAGAUGAUGCAGCGGCUCGACAUCGAGACAGUUGUUAAAUCUUCGGAGCCUAAAGAUGAGCCUGCGUCUGAUUAGGUAGUUGGCGGAGUAAAAGCCCACCAAGCCUGCGAUCAGUAGCUGGUCUGAGAGGAUGAUCAGCCACACUGGAACUGAGACACGGUCCAGACUCCUACGGGAGGCAGCAGUAAGGAAUAUUGCUCAAUGGCCGAAAGGCUGAAGCAGCAACGCCGCGUGGAGGACGAAAUACUUUUGUAUGUAAACUCCUGUAAGAAGGGAAAAUAUGCAGUUUUCUGCAUUGAUUGUACCUUCAGAGUAAGCCCCGGCUAACU